rnacentral:tRNA from 1 species
AGCCCCGUGGUGUAGCGGCCAAGCAUUACUGGCUCUGGACCAGUCGACGGCAGUUCGAAUCUGCCCGGGGCUA